GGAGGUGGUUCCAUGGUUCAGUAGUAGAACAUACAGUCUGCAAGUGGGAGGCCCUGGGUUCAAAUCCUGGCAUCUCCA